CGGCAGGCCUAACACAUGCAAGUCGAACGGUAACAGGAAGCAGCUUGCUUCUUCGCUGACGAGUGGCGGACGGGUGAGUAAUGUCUGGGAAACUGCCUGAUGGAGGGGGAUAACUACUGGAAACGGUAGCUAAUACCGCAUAACGUCGCAAGACCAAAGAGGGGGACCUUCGGGCCUCUUGCCAUCGGAUGUGCCCAGAUGGGAUUAGCUGUGGUGGGGUAACGGCUCACCAGGCGACGAUCCCUAGCUGGUCUGAGAGGAUGACCAGCCACACUGGAACUGAGACACGGUCCAGACUCCUACGGGAGGCAGCAGUGGGGAAUAUUGCACAAUGGGCGCAAGCCUGAUGCAGCCAUGCCGCGUGUAUGAAGAAGGCCUUCGGGUUGUAAAGUACUUUCAGCGGGGAGGAAGGGAGUAAAGUUAAUACCUUUGCUCAUUGACGUUACCCGCAGAAGAAGCACCGGCUAACUCCGUGCCAGCAGCCGCGGUAAUACGGAGGGUGCAAGCGUUAAUCGGAAUUACUGGGCGUAAAGCGCACGCAGGCGGUUUGUUAAGUCAGAUGUGAAAUCCCCGGGCUCAACCUGGGAACUGCAUCUGAUACUGGCAAGCUUGAGUCUCGUAGAGGGGGGUAGAAUUCCAGGUGUAGCGGUGAAAUGCGUAGAGAUCUGGAGGAAUACCGGUGGCGAAGGCGGCCCCC
rnacentral:rRNA from 1 species